GACAGAGGGUGCAAACGUUUGUUCGGAUUUACUGGGCGUAAAGCGCGUGUAGGCGGCUUUGCAAGUCGGAUGUGAAAGCCCACGGCUCAACCGUGGAAGUGCAUCCGAAACUGCAUGGGCUGGAGUCUCGGAGAGGAAGGUGGAAUGCUUGGUGUAGAGGUGAAAUUCGUAGAUAUCAAGCAGAACACCUGCGGCGAAGGCGGCCUUCUGGACGAUGGACUGACGCUGAGACGCGAAAGCGUGGGGAGCAAACAGG
rnacentral:rRNA from 1 species